rnacentral:rRNA from 1 species
UGGACACCUAACCUAUGGAGGGGGAUAACCCCGGGAAACUGGGGAUAAUACCCCAUAGACUAUAAAUGCUGGAAUGCUUUGUAGUUGAAAGGUCCGCCGCCAUAGGAUGGGUCUGCGGCCGAUUAGGUUGUUGUUGGGGUAACGGCCCAACAAGCCUGUAAUCGGUACGGGUUGUGGGAGCAAGAGCCCGGAGAUGGAUUCUGAGACACGAAUCCAGGCCCUACGGGGCGCAGCAGGCGCGAAAACUUUACAAUGCGGGAAACCGUGAUAAGGGAACUCCGAGUGCCCGUAAAAUCGGGCUGUCCAUCUGUGUAAAAAACAGGUGAAGAAAGGGCCGGGCAAGACCGGUGCCAGCCGCCGCGGUAAUACCGGCGGCUCGAGUGGUGGCCACUAUUACUGGGCUUAAAGCGUUCGUAGCUGGUCUGUUAAGUCUCUGGGGAAAUCUACUGGCUUAACCAAUAGGCGUCUCAGGGAUACUGGCAGACUAGGGACCGGGAGAGGUGAGAGGUACUCCAGGGGUAGGAGUGAAAUCCUGUAAUCCUUGGG